rnacentral:rRNA from 1 species
UGGGUAACCUACCCUAUGCAGGGGGAUAACGUUUGGAAACGAACGCUAAUACCGCAUAAACUAUGGAUGAUCGCAUGGUCAUUAUAGUAAAGAUUUAUCGGCAUAGGAUGGACCCGCGUUGGAUUAGCUAGUUGGUGAGAUAACAGCCCACCAAGGCGACGAUCCAUAGCCGGCCUGAGAGGGUGAACGGCCACACUGGGACUGAGACACGGCCCAGACCUCCUACGGGAGNAG